GGCGCGAAAAGUAAAUAUCGGAAAUGCGCGGCGUCUCUCGCUCUAGUAAUCUUUUUUCCCAUCCGCGUAGACCACC
ensembl:ncRNA F40H3.16 ncRNA